rnacentral:rRNA from 1 species
UACAGAGGGGGCAAGCGUUGUCCGGAUUCAUUGGGCGUAAAGAGCUCGUAGGCGGCCUCGUAAGUCAGGUGUGAAACCUCCAGGCUCAACCUGGAGCCGCCACCUGAUACUGCGAUGGCUAGAGUCCGGUAGGGGAUCACGGAAUUCCUGGUGUAGCGGUGAAAUGCGCAGAUAUCAGGAGGAACACCGGUGGCGAAGGCGGUGAUCUGGGCCGGUACUGACGCUGAGGAGCGAAAGCGUGGGGAGCGAACAGG